rnacentral:rRNA from 1 species
AUUGAACGCUGGCGGCGUGCUUAACACAUGCAAGUCGAGCGGUAACAGGCGUAGCAAUACGUGCUGACGAGCGGCGAACGGGUGCGUAAUACAUGGGAAUCUGCCUUUUAGUGGGGAAUAACCCGGCGAAAGCCGGGCUAAUGCCGCAUAAGAUCUUCGGAUGAAAGCGGGGGAUCGUAAGACCUCGCGCUGAUAGAUGAGCCCAUGCCGGAUUAGCUAGUUGGUGAGGUAACGGCUCACCAAGGCGACGAUCCGUAGCUGGUCUGAGAGGACGGCCAGCCACACUGGGACUGAGAAGCGGCCAAGACUCCUACGGGAGGCAGCAGUGGGGAAUAUUGGACAAUGGGGGAAACCCUGAUCCAGCGACGCCGCGUGUGUGAAGAAGGCCUGCGGGUUGUAAAGCACUUUCGGUGGGAACGAAAUAUGCCGGGCUAAUACCCCGGUAGGCUGACGUUACUCAAUGAAGAAGCACCGGCUAACUCUGUGCCAGCAGCCGCCGUAACAC